AUUUGUUCUUUCACAGCUUUAAAGUUUGGAAGUCUGAAAUCAGUUUCAACAAAGUUGAGCUCCACCAAGAGGCUCCAAAGGAAAAUCUCUCCAGCUUCUGGAAGCUGCUGGCUUUCCUUGUGUCAAGGCUCAGUCACUCUGAUCUCUGCCUCUGUCUUCACACCUUCUUCAGAUAAGUUUCUCUUUGUCUUUCUCUUUUAAGAACUCUUAUGAUGGAAUUUAGGACUCAGAUAUGCUGAGAUCCUUAAUUUAAUCACACCUACUAAAAUCCCCCCCCCCCCCAAAUAAGGCAAUGUUCACUGGUUCCAAGGAUUUAGCAUGUAAGAUCUUAUUAGGGAUCCAUUUUUAUCCUUGUAAUCAAAUCAACUCUGGAGCUACUAAACCUCAAGGCCAGACAGUGAUAUUAUAGACAAAGUUCUGGCUAGGAUUAGGAGUCAAUUAUUCAUUCAGAUAUUUAAUAUCUAUGGACUUCAACUUAUUUCAAUUAUAUAAGCUUAUCAACUCUUCAAAAUUGUUUGAGAUGAAAUCCUGCAUGCCAUUCUUGAGAAGAUAAAAUGGCAUAAUUUACCCUUGCAUUGCAAUUCUCAUUUUUGCCAUUGAAUGAAGGUCCUAAAUAAGUAAAUAUUUCCUGAAGCAUUAGAGGAGUUCAAAUUGUAGGGAACUCCUCUGCUGCAGUAUGGCUGGGCACAAAUGCCGCAGUCUGGCUGGGCACAAAAUCACGAGCCACCACACAGCUUGUAGAUUCAAACAGCAACUCUUUAUUCCCGAACUCACCCCAGCCGUCUACAACCACGUUCUGGGGAAAUCCAC
rnacentral:lncRNA from 1 species